GUGAUGGGCGGAGCCGAACUGGCCGGCCUCUCCAGGUGCAGUCGUGCCUGCGGCCCCACCUGCCGCCCUGCAGCAGCUGGUCCCGCUACAGUCUCAGAUGCCUUUGGCCUCUAGUUGCCUGGCUGAGAGGAUCGGCAGUCGGAGCACCAGGUCCUUGUAUACAGCCCGCUGGACAGAGUUGCUCGUGACGACCCUUUACUGGUGGUGCGGCAGCUGUAGGACUUCUCAGGCCCACAGGCCACAGUGAAGGAGGGCAGGGCAAUGACCCAGCUUCAGCCUUUCCUCAGGGCAGACAUAUUUUCAAGUGAAGCAUUUUGAAAUUUAAAGCAAUGAGUUCAGGUGUUAAUCUGAAAGAAAAACAAGAAGAAAGAAGCAAAAGACAACAGCAACAAACAACAACCCACACAUUCCCAGCAUCUAACUGCAAACUCAGAAAGCCAUUGUAAUAAAUUUAGUUGGAUUCAGGCAUAUUCUAAGAUAAUAGAACGAGACAGACACAUAUUAUGUUGUUUUAACAUAAUGAAAGUUGGAAAAACUCUACUGCAAUGUGAAAAUUCUGAUUAUCUUUCACAUCCCGCUCAAGGAGACCUUACCACUGAGGAGAGCUGACUACUGUGAGGUUUUAUUUCCCUGAAUCUCAUUUCUAUCCCCAUCUAGUAGGAAAACAGAAGUGACUGACAACUUGCACAAGAAGAGGUAUGACCUUGAGAAUGAGGAGAAAAUGGCAUAAAAAAUACUUGUUAGGGAGCAAAAGUAUAUGAAGUUCAAAAGGGCUAAUAUAUUUGAGGCUGGCCAGGAGGAUGCUGGGGAGGGUGGUCAAAAGGGUGGAAGGGCUAAUUUUGGAUACCUACACCUCCCUUAGAGACCCCGUAAUUCUUUUGAGUAACUAUAGCUUUAGCCUCAAGUAAAGAAUAGUUUUGUGCAGUUAUCCAGAUCCUUUUUGUAUGUUUGAGGCAGAAAAAUAAAGCAUUUAAAAGCAGGUUUUCCCCCUACCCCUACUUUAGUUCACAAGAGGGAAGAAGUGCUAAGGUCACCAAGGGAUUUUAAUAGAGGGUAUAAACAGAUUUGGAUUUUUGGAAAAUGACUCGUGCUGCCAUGCCAUGUAAAACUAUGUUAAAACAAAGAAAGACUGGAGAAAGGGAAACCCAUCAGAAGUCUGUUGCUGUAUCAGACAAAGAUGUACAAUGGUUUGAUUUAAGAUAGUGUCAUGAGGAUGAAAGGAAGGGAAAAGAUUUGAGGUAUAUUUAAGAGAUAGUGAUUCAAUGAUUGAUUUAAUUUGGAGAAUAACAAAAUAGAAGGAAAUAAUAACUCCUUUGGCAACUGGGUAGAUAGUUGUACCUUCUUCUGAGAUAUGGUAUCAUAGAGAAAGAGAAGGAGAUUUUAAGAUAGAUGCAUAUAGUGAAUUCAGUUUUUAAUUCAAGGUGUUUAGAAGACAUUCAAAUGAAGAUUCCAGUAGGAGUUACUUACACAUCUGGAGCUCAAAGCAUGAGUCUGGUUGGAAGAGUUUUGGCAGGAAAUGUAAAAUAGGAAGAACUUAGAGCUAUGUGAGAGGACAAGGUUGUCCAGAGGGAGGAUAUAUAGAGUGAGAUAAGUAGUGGAGAUAAUUAGGAGGUUAUUAAGGAUUAGGUCAAGAAAUGAAGAGCCAAGGUUUGGAUAUGUUGUUUAUGUAAGUAUUGAUUACACCCAUAAUUACUCCCCUUGUCAUGGGGAGAUGUAAAAAUUGUCAGUGAAUGGGGGAGAGCAUCAGAAAAUUUGUAGAUAAAGCCACAAUGGGGAAUAAAGGUUCAUAUAGAAGAAUGACACAGACAUCAAAGGAACAGGUACUUUGUAUAAUGAUGCAACAUUUACACCCCAGAAGUGGUAGUGAGGAGCAAGGAUGACAUGAACCUUAUGCAGACCCCAUAGGAUAUAUCAGGUAAGAAAAAGACCAGCAUGAUUUCAUGUGCUUGAUUGUAUAGCUUCAGGUGAGAGCCAUAUUUUAGCUCAGGUGAGGAGCUAUAUAGAGAAUUUUGUAAAGAAUUUUGAUUUUGCAGAGUCUUUUAAUUGUGGAAAGGGAGAUUCAUAUAUCAGCAUUAAAGGGCUAAUAAAGUGGUAAUUUGACAAAGAGAGAGAGGCUGAGAGGAGAGUCUAUACUGUAGUGGCAGCUGGGUGAACCAGAAACUGGCAAAAGUAAGGACUGGUAAGCAGAGUAUCCCCUUUAAUCCAAGGGUGAUAUCUCAGCAGAAAUAUCUAUGAUGGAACUGCAGGAAGAUUGAUGGUCAUCUCUGUGUGGAGUGAUGCACCAGAAGUGUGGGCUGGAGCACUGUGAGGGCUGAGGAGUGUGGGAAUAUUAUAUUGAGGAUAAGGCUUUUCCUUUCUGCAUCAUGACCAGAUUUGCAUUUUAUAAAGAUCACUCUGACAGGUACAGAUCAUGGAUUCUGGAGGACCAGCCUGGCUCCAGGAAGACCAUUUGAAAGACUACUGUAAAAGUAAAAAAUGAUGGGUCCUUGAACUAAGGCAGCAUCAGAGGGAUCUGAACCCACGAGAGAUAUGUAGGUAAAAGAAUCCAUAGAACUAGGUGAUUGAUUAGAUGCAGAGGAUAAAGAAGAGUGAUGACAAGGCAAGAGGGUAGGAUGGCUUUCUAUUUCUGAUUUGUUAACCAGGUAGAGGGUGGCAUCAAUUUCUAGGUUAGAGAAUGAAGCAAGAGAACAGAUUUUGCAAAGUAGAUGGAUGGAAGAAAAGUUUUCUUUUAAAAAUGAUUAUUUUGAGGGGCACCUGGGUG